UAAAUAAUGUAAUUUUACAUUAUAAUGAGAAUUAAAGUAUUAGUAAUUUAUUUUUGUUACUAAAAUUAAAAUCAGUUUGUUCCUGCAUAAAUCUUUUUAGUACUAAACUGCUUUGGAAUGACUUUUUUGGGGGGACAACAGCAGGAUUAGGGCCGUCUUCUAGAUGCCAUCAGGUAGGUGCGCUAGCGUAGUCGUUUGUUGUAGCAUGAUAUCCCUUUUCCCCCUUUUUUAAAAAUGUUUGUAAGACGCCUGAAAUUUGUAUAAGUUAGUUAUAUAAGUAGUUGAAUAAGAAUUGGUGAGAGUUGGAAAAUAGAAGAGGACAAAGAAGAUGGAAGAGGAUUGCUUUGAAAUAGAAGGAAAGAGAUAGAAAAUUUUUGAGGAAAGGAGGAGGAUUUUGUUCGCUGUAAUGGUAGUUUUUUGAAUGAAAUUUGGUGCAACUGUAUUAAGAUGUUAUUGAUAUCUUGGACAUCAAGUUUCAUUUAUUUGCGUAUUAUACAAGCCUAUCUAUUGGUGGAAAUGUAAAAUGGCAGCUGGUAUAACACCUUGUAUGAAUUAUUACUAACUCCAAAGAAGUUUGUACAUAAUUUAAACUGGGAAGAAGCUCAUAAAAGACCAGUUUAGGCUGCAGUAGUACCAGGACCUUAAAUUGGCUUCCACAACACAGAUAUCUUUCAAAAAUGAUAUCUGUUCGAGUGAUGUACUGGGCGUUAACAGUUGCUGUUACAAAUCUGCAAAUGUCAAGAAAUGUUUUGAAUGAAACGAUAGUGAAAAACUUGUCCACAAAUGUCAAUUUCAAGAUACAAUCAAUAGUACUAAGAUUGAUUGGCCUCCAUUACCAUUAUGCUAUAAAAAUGUAAGCAAUACAAAUUGGUAUUAAUGGACGUUUUGACAGUUGUUUCCAGUCCAAGUUCCAGUUUUAAUGGAAAAUCUUUAAUGGACACAGGAAAAUGCCAUUUACUGGAUUAACUUCAAUACCUGUUGCCUUUUAAUAAGGGUAUACAACGGUACAAUUGCUGUUAGGAAGUUAACAAGUAGUACUAGUUGCAGAUAAUAUAUUAUGGUGGACAUCAAAAAGCUUUAAAUGGAAUGAAACUUGCAGGAAAAAUAAAGGAAAACCAUUUUAGACUGUAUACGUAAUAGUUGUUAGAGUGGAUGCAGUCCUUCAUCAAUGUGAGCUGAACAAAAUGGUAAUGGACAUUUUGACAGCUGCUGUCACAACUCAACGAACAAGUUGCAGCUUUGAAGGAACAUUUUUGAUUGGAUACAGAAAAAUGUCAGUCGUUUCAGGAUGUAAAGUUAAUAGAACCAGGGUCGGGCUCGACAUCUGUUGCCUUUUAAUAAUGGCAUACGAUAGGACAAUUGCUAUUAGAAACCGAUAUGACAUACUAGGUGCAAAU